GGGUACUUGGUCUAGGGGUAUGAUUUUCGCUUCGCAACAACCGUCCUUUGGAGCCUCGAGACUUCGAGAUCUGUAGUUGAUGGAGCACGUUACGUAUGUGAAAGGUCGUGGGUUCAAUUCCCACAGUAUCCA